rnacentral:tRNA from 1 species
GCCGACGUAGCUCAAUUGGCAGAGCAGCUGAUUUGUAAUCAGCAGGUUGAGGGUUCGAGUCCCCCCGUCGGCUCCA